rnacentral:rRNA from 1 species
GGUCAAGCAUUAAGAGCGCAGGGUGGAUGCCUUGGCACUGAGAGCCGAUGAAGGACGUGAUAAGCUGCGAAAAGCUUCGGGGAGGAGCAAAUAUCCAUUGAUCCGGAGAUAUCCGAAUGGGGAAACCCACUUGAGCAAACCUCAAGUAUCCAUACGCCAAUCCAUAACGUAUGGAAGGGAACCGGGGGAACUGAAACAUCUAAGUACCCCGAGGAGAAGAAAGAAACCUCGAUUUCCAAAGUAGCGGCGAGCGAAAUGGAAAGAGCCCAAACCGUGGUGCGUGCACCGCGGGGUUGUGGACUGCAUAAGGUACUCGAAUCAAUAGCCGAACAGUUUUGGGAAAUCUGAUCAGAGAGGGUGAAAAUCCCGUAGGCGAAAUUGAUGAGAGGCUGGCAGGAUCCAGAGUACCACGAGACACGGGAAACCUUGUGGGAAGCAGGAGGGACCACCCUCCAAGGCUAAAUACUCCUCAGUGACCGAUAGCGCAUAGUACUGUGAAGGAAAGGUGAAAAGGACCCCGGGAGGGGAGUGAAAGAGAACCUGAAACCCUGUGUUUACAAGCUGUGGAAGUGCCUUAUGUGCACAACCGCGUACUUUUUGUAGAACGGUCCGGCGAGUUACGUUUACUGGCAAGGUUAAGCACUCAAGGUGCGGAGCCGAAGGGAAACCAAGUCUUAAGAGGGCGUGAAGUCAGUAAGAGUAGACCCGAAACCGGGUGAUCUACCCAUGUCCAGGCUGAAGCUGCCGUAAGAGGUAGUGGAGGGCCGAACGCACAUCCGUUGAAAAGGGUGGCGAUGAGGUGUGGGUAGGGGAGAAAUU